GAAAAAAAAAGAGAAAAUCAUCGAGAGAAAAAGAAAAAAUAUAUAUAAAUAAACUCGAAGGUUCAAAAGAAGCACGAGCCAAAGAAGGGCACUCGGUUGAAAAAUAGAAAGAAAAAAAAAAGAGAAACCGAGCGAAAAACAAAAGAAAAACAAACCAACACAGUAAACAUGAUGGUGACAUUGACUCUGAACCAAAAACCACUUGUUUCCCAUUUUUUGAAUAUCCACACCAUAACCCAAGCCCCGUUACAACCCGAAAGACCUCAAAAAGUGUGUGUGUUAUGCGUAGGU
rnacentral:lncRNA from 1 species